rnacentral:rRNA from 1 species
CUGGUUGAUUCUGCCAGUGAGUCAUGCUAUUCUUGAAGACUAAGCCAUGCAUGUGCCAAGUUCAAACGUAUAUUCGUGAGACUGCGGACGGCUCAGUAUAUCAGUAAUAAUCUAUUUGAUUGUCUCUCCCAAUGGAUAACCGUGGGAAAUCUAGAGCUAAUACAUGCAGUUCAUUGACGGGCUCGUUCCGUCAAAGCAUUUAUUAGACAUAACCAUCUACGGUGCAAACCGUAAGGCGAAUCUAGAUAACUUUGCUGAUCGUAUGGCCUAGUGCCGACGACGUUUCAACUGAGUUUCUGCCCCAUCAAUUUGUUGGUAAGGUAUUGGCUUACCAAGGUUGCAACGGGUAACGGGGAAUCAGGGUUCGAUUCCGGAGAGGGAGCAUGAGAAACGGCUACCACAUCCAAGGAAGGCAGCAGGCGCGCAAAUUACCCAAUCUAGACAGUAGGAGGUGGUGAAGAGAAGUACUAAGUGGUGGCAUAUUGUCUCCAUCUUGGAAUGAACGUAAUUUAAGCAAUUCGUUGAGUAGCUAUUGGAGGGCAAGUCCUGGUGCCAGCAGCCGCGGUAAUUCCAGCUCCAAUGGCGUGACUUAAAGUUGCUGCGUUUAAAACGCUCGUAGUUGGAUCAUGCAGCAGUAAGUGGUUAUCGAACUAUCGUUCGCAUACCGAUGAACGUCGGGCGUAUGAGGUGCGAUGCUAUGCUACUUACUGCUAGUUGCACGUAAGUGUGGUAUUCGGCCUUCAGUGUGUCGAGUAUUGCGUCUUGCGGAGUGUGCCUUGAAUAAAACAGAGUGCUUAAAGCAGGUUGACGCCUGAAUGUUAUAGCAUGGAACGAACAAACGUGUAUUUGCGUGCGUUGUUUCACGGACGCGUUCCUCUGGAGUGUGUUCGUGGACGGCGUAUGCAGCACCCACCAAAAUACGGAUGUUGGUUUCGUAUUAGGUGAUGAUUAACAGGAGCGGUUGGGGGCAUUGGUAUUUGGCCGCGAGAGGUGAAAUUCUUAGACCGGCCAAGGACUAACAAAUGGCGAAGGCAUCUGUCUAGACCGUUUCCAUUAAUCAAGAACGAGAGUGGGAGGUUCGAAGGCGAUCAGAUACCGCCCUAGUUCCCACCGUAAACUAUGCCGACCUGGGAUCAGCUUGGUGAUCUGAAGCUCCAAGUUGGUCCCUCUGGGAAACCUCAAGUUUUUCGGUUACGGGGAAAGUAUGGUCGCAAGGCUGAAACUUAAAGGAAUUGACGGAAGGGCACCACCAGGGGUGGAGCCUGCGGCUUAAUUUGACUCAACACGGGGAAACUUACUUGGUCCGGACAUCGAAAGGAUAGACAGACUGAUAGAUCUUUCUUGAUGCGGUGAGUGGUGGUGCAUGGCCGUUCUUAGUUCGUGGAGUGAUCUGUCAGGUUUAUUCCGGUAACGAACGAGACCACAAUCUCCAUUUAGGGAACGGAAGUACGUGAACGGAGAGAGAACUUCGGUUCUCUCGUUCUGGUUGCGGUAGGCGAAGUUUCUUAAUUCUAGCAGUGCAAAGCAUUAGGGCAACCGAGUGUUUUGUGUUGUUAGGAGGAUGUUGCUUUCCCUUCCGUUUCGCAGUGUCGGGCAAUACCCGUACGCUGUCCUAUGGAGAGACAACAGGAAUCCAAGCCUGAGGAAGUGUGGCUAUAACAGGUCAGUGAUGCCCUUCGAUGUCCAAGGCUGCACGCGCGCUACAAUGAUAACGACAGCAAGCAUCUGUGUCGAGAGACUUGGAAAAUCUAGAAUCGUUAUCGUGAUGGGAAUCGACCGUUGUAAAUCGGUCGUGAAAUAGGAAUCCCUAGUAUAUGCAAUUUAUUAAAUUGUAUAGAUUCAGUCCCUGCCCUUUGUACACACCGCCCGUCGCUACUACCGAGUGAAUUUUGUCAUGAUGCCUUGGGACUGGACGUUGAGCGGAUGUAACAGUCUGUUCAAUGCUGGAAUCAAUGUAGAAUGGCGCAAUUUCGAGGAAGUAAAAGUCGUAACAAGGUUUCCGUAG